UAGUUUACCUUAGGGUCCACACUUGGUUUUGUAUAUUCUACAAGAACCAACAAAUGUAUAGAAACAUGUAUUGUUCUGUGUUCACAGAAGAGUCCCGCAGAAAAGGAGAUGGCAACCCACUNNNNNNNNNNNNNNCUGGGAAAUCCCAUGGACAGAGGAGCCUGGUGGGCUACAGUCAAUGGGGUUGCAAGGAGUUGGACACGACUGACUGAACUACAACUACAGCGAUCCUUUUGUGCAAUGUCAUGGGGGUCUGGCCCUGGACCAGAGCAUCAUUUAAAAAUAGGAUGGCAUGAGUCACAGUGAAGGAGGGUUGGGACAAGGAGGUGUGAGGAUCCGCUCCAGAGACAUAGGACUCCUAACCCCAGUGAGUGUCCACACCUUCUCAGAGAACUCAGCUCAGUGAAGUACUGAUUAAUCUGAGCGAACUCAGCUCAGUGAAGUCAGCGGUGACUGGUUAAUUGAAAGGAAUUUCAGAACAAAGAGAUGUUCACACCCAGGCAGGAGGGUUACAGGCUGAGUGCAGACAGGAAUCAGGAUCCCCAAGAGUCUGGGCAAAUGUGUGCAUACAAUCUGAGAUACCUAAUCACAGUGGACAUGGAACACCAGACUGGCUCCAAGUAGGAAAAGGAGUACAUCAAGGCUGUAUACUAUCACCCUGCUUAUUUAAC
rnacentral:lncRNA from 1 species